ensembl:lncRNA
CAGAGAUUCAGAUAUUUUAACCAGGGAUGGCAAAUGCUUGGUACAUAUACCCUGAUCAUGGGACUCACUCCUUUGGAAGCCAGACAAAACUCCAGGGUUCUUCUUAGCAUUUCUGGCAGUCGAGGCAGGCCUUAGAUUUGGCACACAAAAUGAAACCUAGCUUAUCAUUUCUGCCUUAACGUAAAGGAAUAAGGAGAGAUUCUGAACACCAUGGCAACAAAAUAUACUGCCCUUGCAUCCAAGAGGCACAUUUCUAGAGAGCCUAUGUGAUAUAGGAGUUUGUAAGUCGGAAUACCAGUCUGAGUGCUGUGCCACUCACUGGCUGUGUGACCUUCCCCAUACUCCUUGGCAUCUCUGUGCUGUGCUCACCAGUAAGUAAUACUUCCCAGGGUUUUUUGAGUGGGUGGAGGUUCCCUGAAUGGUCUUUGGCACCAAUAAGCUUUGAUCAACCAAGUUAGUUGUAAGAAUUGGCCACUACCCCUCAGCACACACCUAGCUCCCUGAAGACACGUACAGGGCGACUGAGAAAGACUCUUAAUGAACAGAAAGAACACAAAAGUACCCACGUCUUGCAUCGUUUAUUUUAAACAAAGAUGAGACUGCAGCUUGGUUCUCAACUGAGGUUACAAAAUGAGACUAGGAAAUACUCCUCAAGUGCCCGGUUACUUUUGAAGAGCUUACUCAUUUGUCAAGGUCUCCACAUCAUUGCUCCAUGAGAGGAUUGGGAUGGAACAGCAAAUUCUCAGAUACCCUUGAGUGCCUACUUCCUAGAGCGAGGACGUCAGGCGCAGACUCAUCUCGGUGGAAGCUUGUGAAGCUGGAGGACAAAGCCUGGGGACGGCUGCAGCAACCUGCACUUCUCUGGAGGCAGCAAGCAGCAAGGGCAGCACCUUCAGGUGAAGGCAGGGGGAGGAGAGCAUGACAGAGGUACAGCCUGGUGUUGGAAGCAUGGGCUCCUGAGUUGAUGGGCCCAGACCUGAAUCUGAACUCUGUCCUUCCGUGUCCUUGGGCAAGCUGCAUAAUGCAUCAAAGUCUCAGUUUCAACAUCUGUGAAAGGGAAAUUUCACUCAGACUGUGGUUGGCAGGACUCCAGGAUGACCUCCAGGAUUCCUACCUCCUAACAUAUAGACCCUUGUAGUUUUCUUGAGCAUGGACAGGAUCUGUGAAUAUGAUGGGAUACUUGUUCCCACAAUUGGACUAUCCUGUUCAACAAGGAAGAGAUUUUGUACAUAUAAUGAAGGUCCCAAAGCAGCUGCUGUGAGUCAUUCAGAAGACAGAGAUGAUCCUGGUGGGCCUGACCUAAUCAGGUGAACCCCUAAAAGGAACUAGGCCCUCCCUUGAAGAGAGAAAUUCAGAUUCUCCUGUAGUGUGGCAGGUACAAAUAUAAGAGCAUAUGUGGAAAAGGCCACGUGGGCAGAACCUGAGGAGAGCCUCUAGGUGCUGACAGUAGCCCCCUGCCAAUAGCCAGCAUGAAAAUGCAGACCAUGGCCCUACCGUCACAAAGAAAUGACUUCUGUCAACGACCACAAUCUCUGAGAAGACCCCAUCCCUGGCUGAAACUUUGAUUUCAGCCUCCUGAGACCCUGAGCAGAAGACACAGCCAGGCUGGGCCUGUACUUCUGGCUACAGGAUUAUUAUAUAGCAUAUACCUGUUUUAAACUCCUCUACAUAAAAAUAAAUAAAUAAAUAAAAAAUAAAAAAAUAAACA